rnacentral:lncRNA from 1 species
CAAGGAAGCUCAUUCUCAGAAAGGAAACAAUUCUGUUCUUCACAAGGUUAUGGGAAAAAUUUCUGUUUGGUGGUGUAGGCUGUCCCUGAGUAACCGUUUAUUAAAUGCGCAAAUAAACUUCUAUUCUCUGUCCUAGUUUGGUUUCUUUUCUUUUUUUUUUAAUGUUUAUUUUUGAGAGAGAGAGAGAGAGACAGGCAGAGUGCGAGUUGGGGGCGGGGGGGGGGGGGGGGGGUGGAGGCAGAGAGAGAUACACACACACACAAUCGGAAGCAGGCUCCAGGCUCUGAGCUGCUGGCACAGAGCUCGACUCAGGGCUGGAAACUGCAGACUGUGAGAUCACGACCUGAACUGAAGUCGGAGGCUCAACCGACUGAGCCACCCAGGCGCCCCGCCCCGGCCCCGGGUUUGGUUUCUAUAAGGAUAAUGACUGAGGGUGUUAGAGGUCUUUGGGAUGAUGCAGAAUUCAGAGGAGGUUCAAGAUCCAAGAUCUAUGGGUGCUCAUAAAAGUGGAAGAUGGAAGGAUGCACAGGAAAUUGAGAGAUGGCAGGUUGAGGAGGACCAGAGGGUAGUGUGGGGCUGUAGAGAAAAUAUUUUUAUAUUUCCAUAUGGUUAGGGCUUUCUUAUUUUUUCUUUUUUAAAAAAAUGUUUAUUUAUUUUUGAGAGAGAGAGAGAGAGAGAGAGAGAGAGAGCAAGCAUGGAAGGGACAGAGAGAGAGGGAGAGAGAUAAUACCAAGUAGGCUCUGUGCUGUCAGAGCAGAGCCCGACGCAGGGCUCCAUCUCACAAACUGUGAGAUCAGGAGCUGAACCGAAAUCAAGAGUCAGAUACUCAACCAACUAAGCCAUCCAGAUGCCUCUGGUUAGGGAUUUCUGAACAAAGAAAGCUGGGAUCUGGAUGAAAGGACAAGUUAUAGUGUUUAAGGAUGAGUAGACAGUAAGAGGCCCUCCUGAGAGGUUUAUCUUCCCUGAGGUUAAUGUUUCAUUUCAGAAGAGGAAUGAAAUCCAGGGCCACAGAGACCUUCCAGGUAU